rnacentral:sRNA from 1 species
GCCAGGCGCUGUGGCGCACACCUGUAAUCCCAGCAACUCGGAGGCUGAGGCAGGAGGAACGUGAGUUCAGAGCCAGCCUCAG